rnacentral:rRNA from 1 species
AUGGUGUCCUGGGAUGAUCUUCCCAGUUCUUCUGAAGAUGACUCUGUAACCAGCAAGGAAGUACCUAAAUGCAAAUAUGUUGAGUGGGUUGACCUUGAGUGGCCUAAUGCUCUGAAGAUGAGCCUAGAUAGUAUAUGGACCAUGUAUGAAGAGGAGAAAAAACAAAGGCUCAGACAGAAUAUUGUGAGUGCUGAAGAAAACUUGAAGGUUCUUGAAGAGAAGAAGAAGAUGGAGAAUGAGUUGAGGCAUUUCAAGCUUGAUUUUGCUAAGAUGGUGGCUGAGAAGGAGCAGGCAAUGAGACAAUUAGGCAGCACACAACUUGCUCUGACUGAUCUAAAGGAAGAACUUGAGAAGAAGAAGAUGACAGACAAGUCAGUAACCAACAUUCAUCAGGUCUUCAGGGUUAAAGCAGAGAAAGAGAGGGACCAAGCAGUGCAGGAGAGGGACCAAGUGAUUCAAGAGAGGGAUGAUUUGAAGCAUGAGAAAAGGAAGCUUGAGUACAUGAUUGGUGACCUAUUCGACCACAAAGAGGCCACCAAGGAGAAGAUAAGGAAGCUGAAGGGCAUGCUGAAUGAAUUUGAUUGA